rnacentral:rRNA from 1 species
UGGGCUGGGGGCGUCCUUAAACAUGCAGUCGAACGAUGAACCGCUUUCGGGCGGGGAUUAGUGGCGAACGGGUGAGUAACACGUGGGCAAUCUGCCCUGCACUCUGGGACAAGCCCUGGAAACGGGGUCUAAUACCGGAUAUGACUGUCCAUCGCAUGGUGGAUGGUGUAAAGCUCCGGCGGUGCAGGAUGAGCCCGCGGCCUAUCAGCUUGUUGGUGAGGUAGUGGCUCACCAAGGCGACGACGGGUAGCCGGCCUGAGAGGGCGACCGGCCACACUGGGACUGAGACACGGCCCAGACUCCUACGGGAGGCAGCAGUGGGGAAUAUUGCACAAUGGGCGAAAGCCUGAUGCAGCGACGCCGCGUGAGGGAUGACGGCCUUCGGGUUGUAAACCUCUUUCAGCAGGGAAGAAGCGAAAGUGACGGUACCUGCAGAAGAAGCGCCGGCUAACUACGUGCCAGCAGCCGCGGUAAUACGUAGGGCGCAAGCGUUGUCCGGAAUUAUUGGGCGUAAAGAGCUCGUAGGCGGCUUGUCACGUCGGUUGUGAAAGCCCGGGGCUUAACCCCGGGUCUGCAGUCGAUACGGGCAGGCUAGAGUUCGGUAGGGGAGAUCGGAAUUCCUGGUGUAGCGGUGAAAUGCGCAGAUAUCAGGAGGAACACCGGUGGCGAAGGCGGAUCUCUGGGCCGAUACUGACGCUGAGGAGCGAAAGCGUGGGGAGCGAACAGGAUUAGAUACUCUGG